rnacentral:rRNA from 1 species
CCCUUAGAUGUUCUGGGCCGCACGCGCGCUACACUGAUGCAUUCAACGAGUCUAAAACCUGCUCUGAUAGGGGUGGGUAAUCUUUUGAAUGUGCAUCGUGAUUGGGAUAGAUGAUUGCAAUUUUUCAUCUUCAACGAGGAAUGCCUAGUAAACGCAAGUCAUCAGCUUGCAUUGAUUACGUCCCUGCCCUUUGUACACACCUCCCGUCGCUCCUACCGAUUGAAUGAUCCGAUGAAUAUCAUGGAUUGAGGAUUAUAGCAGGUUCGCCUGUCUUGAUCUUCGAGAAGUGAAGUAAAUCUUAUCAUUUAGAGGAAGGAGAAGUCGUAACA